rnacentral:rRNA from 1 species
AUUGAACGCUGGCGGCAGGCCUAACACAUGCAAGUCGAACGGUAACAGGAAACAGCUUGCUGUUUCGCUGACGAGUGGCGGACGGGUGAGUAAUGUCUGGGAAACUGCCUGAUGGAGGGGGAUAACUACUGGAAACGGUAGCUAAUACCGCAUAACGUCGCAAGACCAAAGAGGGGGACCUUCGGGCCUUUUGCCAUCGGAUGUGGCCAGAUGGGAUUAGCUAGUAGGUGGGGUAACGGGUCACCUAGGCGACGAUCCCUAGCUGGUCUGAGAGGAUGACCAGCCACACUGGAACUGAGACACGGUCCAGACUUCUACGGGAGGCAGCAGUGGGGAAUAUUGCACAAUGGGCGCAAGCCUGAUGCAGCCAUGCCGCGUGUAUGAAGAAGGCCUUCGGGUUGUAAAGUACUUUCAGCGGGGAGGAAGGGAGUAAAGUUAAUACCUUUGCUCAUUGACGUUACCCGCAGAAGAAGCACCGGCUAACUCCGUGCCAGCCGCCGCGGUAA